AGUGAACGCUGGCGGUAGGCCUAACACAUGCCAGUCGAACGGCAGCACAGUAAGAGCUUGCUCUUACGGGUGGCGAGUGGCGGACGGGUGAGGAAUACAUCGGAAUCUACUUUUUCGUGGGGGAUAACGUAGGGAAACUUACGCUAAUACCGCAUACGACCUACGGGUGAAAGCAGGGGAUCUUCGGACCUUGCGCGAUUGAAUGAGCCGAUGUCGGAUUAGCUAGUUGGCGGGGUAAAGGCCCACCAAGGCGACGAUCCGUAGCUGGUCUGAGAGGAUGAUCAGCCACACUGGAACUGAGACACGGUCCAGACUCCUACGGGAGGCAGCAGUGGGGAAUAUUGGACAAUGGGCGAAAGCCUGAUCCAGCCAUACCACGUGGGUGAAGAAGGCCUUCGGGUUGUAAAGCCCUUUUGUUGGGAAAGAAAAGCAGCAGGUUAAUCCCCCGCUGUUCUGACGGUACCCAAAGAAUAAGCACCGGCUAACUUCGUG
rnacentral:rRNA from 1 species